rnacentral:rRNA from 1 species
CAGUCGAACGAAGCACUUUAUUUGAUUUCCUUCGGGACUGAUUAUUUUGUCACUGAGUGGCGGACGGGUGAGUAACGCGUGGGUAACCUGCCUUGUACAGGGGGAUAACAGUUGGAAACGGCUGCUAAUACCGCAUAAGCGCACAGCAUCGCAUGAUGCAGUGUGAAAAACUCCGGUGGUAUAAGAUGGACCCGCGUUGGAUUAGCUAGUUGGUGAGGUAACGGCCCACCAAGGCGACGAUCCAUAGCCGACCUGAGAGGGUGACCGGCCACAUUGGGACUGAGACACGGCCCAAACUCCUACGGGAGGCAGCAGUGGGGAAUAUUGCACAAUGGGCGAAAGCCUGAUGCAGCGACGCCGCGUGAGCGAAGAAGUAUUUCGGUAUGUAAAGCUCUAUCAGCAGGGAAGAUAAUGACGGUACCUGACUAAGAAGCACCGGCUAAAUACGUGCCAGCAGCCGCGGUAAUACGUAUGGUGCAAGCGUUAUCCGGAUUUACUGGGUGUAAAGGGAGCGCAGGCGGUGCGGCAAGUCUGAUGUGAAAGCCCGGGGCUCAACCCCGGUACUGCAUUGGAAACUGUCGUACUAGAGUGUCGGAGGGGUAAGCGGAAUUCCUAGUGUAGCGGUGAAAUGCGUAGAUAUUAGGAGGAACACCAGUGGCGAAGGCGGCUUACUGGACGAUAACUGACGCUGAGGCUCGAAAGCGUGGGGAGCAAACAGGAUUAGAUACCCUGGUAGUCCACGCCGUANACGAUGAAUACUAG